GAGUAAUGUCUGGGAAACUGCCUGAUGGAGGGGGAUAACUACUGGAAACGGUGGCUAAUACCGCAUAACGUCGCAAGACCAAAGAGGGGGACCUUCGGGCCUCUUGCCAUCAGAUGUGCCCAGAUGGGAUUAGCUUGUUGGUGAGGUAACGGCUCACCAAGGCGACGAUCCCUAGCUGGUCUGAGAGGAUGACCAGCCACACUGGAACUGAGACACGGUCCAGACUCCUACGGGAGGCAGCAGUGGGGAAUAUUGCACAAUGGGCGCAAGCCUGAUGCAGCCAUGCCGCGUGUAUGAAGAAGGCCUUCGGGUUGUAAAGUACUUUCAGCGGGGAGGAAGGUGUUGUGGUUAAUAACCGCAGCAAUUGACGUUACCCGCAGAAGAAGCACCGGCUAACUCCGUGCCAGCAGCCGCGGUAAUACGGAGGGUGCAAGCGUUAAUCGGAAUUACUGGGCGUAAAGCGCACGCAGGCGGUCUGUCAAGUCGGAUGUGAAAUCCCCGGGCUCAACCUGGGAACUGCAUUCGAAACUGGCAGGCUUGAGUCUUGUAGAGGGGGGUAGAAUUCCAGGUGUAGCGGUGAAAUGCGUAGAGAUCUGGAGGAAUACCGGUGGCGAAGGCGGCCCCCUGGACAAAGACUGACGCUCAGGUGCGAAAGCGUGGGGAGCAAACAGGAUUAGAUACCCUGGUAGUCCACGCCGUAAACGAUGUCUACUUGGAGGUUGUGCCCUUGAGGCGUGGCUUCCGGAGCUAACGCGUUAAGUAGACCGCCUGGGGAGUACGGCCGCAAGGUUAAAACUCAAAUGAAUUGACGGGGGCCCGCACAAGCGGUGGAGCAUGUGGUUUAAUUCGAUGCAACGCGAAGAACCUUACCUGGUCUUGACAUCCACGGAAGAAUUCAGAGAUGGAUUUGUGCCUUCGGGAACCGUGAGACAGGUGCUGCAUGGCUGUCGUCAGCUCGUGUUGUGAAAUGUUGGGUUAAGUCCCGCAACGAGCGCAACCCUUAUCCUUUGUUGCC
rnacentral:rRNA from 1 species